rnacentral:lncRNA from 1 species
GAUUAUUCUGUGUCCUAUCCUUUCUGUAUAUUCCCUAGAACAUAGUAUUUACUGCUGUUUUUCAUUCAAAUCCUACUUGCCUUUUUACGUGUUUGCAACAACUCUUCAGAUAUUCUACGAAAGGUUUCCAGACUCCCUUAUAGAUGGCCUCUUCUUGAUCCCUGAUUUUCAUAGUUACAUUUGCCGGUUCGGCGUAUUCACUCAAUUUUUACAGAGGGUACUAUUUCAAUAAGCUCUAGAGGUGGAGGGUAGCCCUGAACAAGUCCAUAAUUUCACAGUGUGUGAGGCUGAUGGCGUCAGAGAUUGGAAGCAUGGCGUUUGUGAGGUUUACGCAUUGCCAGCCAUAGCCAAUUGCUCAACUGGAAGCAUCUGAUCCUGGUUGCUAGAAUAGCGACAGAUAGCUGGGCAGCGCCUCUUGUCUCAGGCAGGCUUGCAACCAUCCUCUUCCUUCAGAAAUCUCAUUGUUUAGGGGAGCUGGCAUUCGCUUUUCUGACAUACUGCCAGCUGUGAUUGCAUGCCUAUUCAGGCGAUGAAGCACAGGAGUAUCCAGACCCAUCCUGUGACCUUCAUGGAUGGAUGAAACCACUCCUAAAUUUUGUUGCUUAGCACAUUCAUUUAACUGAGAAACCGAACAAGUGCGGUUGGGUGGGCAGGCCCAGUGGCAGAACGUCUGCUUUGCAUGCAAAAGGUCUCAGGUUUGAUCCCUGACAUCUCCCAGGUAGGACUGAGAAAAGAGUGCCUAAACCCCUUGAGAGCCACUGGAAACUUUGGUUUCCAGUUGUUUUUGGACUAUGAUUCUCAUCAUUUCUGACCACUGGUCCUGCUAGCUGGAGAUGAUGGGGGUUGUAGUCUAAAAACAGCUGGAGACCCAAGUUUGGGAAACCCAGAUGUAGACAAUCCAUGACCAAUGGUCUGACUCUGUAUAAGGCAGCUUCAUGCAUUAAUUUGAGUUGCCAUGCUUUUGUUUCUUGAGUUCCCAUGCAUUGCUUUGGUGUUGUUGUUUAGUCGUUUAGUCGUGUCCGACUCUUCGUGACCCCAUGGACCAGAGCACGCCAGGCACUUCUGUCUUCCACUGCCUCCCGCAGUUUGGUCAAACUCAUGCUGGUAGCUUCGAGAACACUAUCCAACCAUCUCAUCCUCUGUCGUCCCCUUCUCCUUGUGCCCUCCAUCUUUCCCAACAUCAGGGUCUUUUCCAGGGAGUCUUCUCUUCUCAUGAGGUGGCCAAAGUAUUGGAGCCUCAGCUUCAAGAUCUGUCCUUCCAGUGAGCACUCAGGGCUGAUUUCCUUCAGAAUGGAUAGGUUUGAUCUUCUUGCAGUCCAUGGGACUCUCAAGAGUCUCCUCCAGCACCAUAAUUCAAAAGCAUCAAUUCUUUGGUGAUCAGCCUUCUUUAUGGUAUUGCUUUGGUACUUCCCUUUAAAUAUUCUCUCUCUCUCAAACGCCGCAAAAAAGUACAUCUCAAGAGCCCAAGUGCUGGUCUGCACAAAACAAAAGGGAAUGUUAGAGCUGUGGACUUUACCACGUCAGUCUGCAGGUGGGGGAAUUGCAUUCUUCAAUGUUCUCUGCCUCUUUAAUCCCAGACUCCUUGCAGGCAGUAGACUUACACAACAAGGUGUAAGGCUCAGGGCAACACUCUCUCUGAUGUGCUGAUUUAGUGCAUGCAGAGAACUUUUCAAGUGUAAACAAGCAAACAAACAAACAAACAAACAAACAAACAAACAAACAAACCUCCCCCUGCUGUGAAGUGGCACAGGCUCUGAAUCCCACCGCUUCAAUUUUUAAAAUAAUGUAAAUUUUAAAAAAAACCUAGUGUGGCACAAAGCCCUGCCCAUGCUUUUCUUUUGUAUAGCUUUUUGACCUUCAUGGAAAGAAAAAUGCAUUUUUGCCCACCCUCUUUUAUUUAUUUAUUUUGAGUUUUCGCCCUCUAGUUUUAUGGAUCCGGGCAGGUGGCAGGGUUUCCCCUUCUCAGUCCCCUGUUUCCAUCAUUCCUGUAUGAGCACUGUGAGGUAGGCACUCGACUUCAGAGCAGGAGAGUUGAUGGCGCAACGAGAGAGCUGCCACUUCUGCAAUCCUCUUGAUUUCAGAGGGGAAGUGUUAUGUAAUGUACUGAUUGCUAAUUUGGCCAAGGGUAUAGACAGGGAUACGGGUGGCACUGUGGGUUAAACCACAGAGCCUAGGACUUGCCAAUCAGAAGGUCAGCGGUUCGAAUCCCCGUGACGGGGUGAGCUCCCGUUGCUCGGUCCCAGCUCCUGCCAACCUAGCAGUUCGAAAGCACGUCAAAGUGCAAGUAGAUAAAUAGGUACCACACCAGCGGGAAGGUAAACGUUUCCAUGCACUGCUCUGGUUCACCAGAAGCGGCUUAGUCAUGCUGGCCACAUGACCCGGAAGCUGUACGCCGGCUCCCUCGGCCAAUAAAGCGAGAUGAGUGCCGCAAUCCCAGAGUCGGCCACGACUGGACCUAAUGGUCAGGGGUCCCUUUACCCUUUACCUUUAUAGACAGCCAGAUCCUAUGCAUGUUGGUUCAGAAGCAAGUCCCAAUGGGUUUGAUGGGGCUUAAACUGUCAGAUAAAUGUGGAGAGGAUUGCAACUUUAGAGUGUUGAUGGCUGGCUGGGCUGGGAAGGUUAUUUGGUUUGCCUAUCCAUCCGUCCUCUGCUGAUGCUUCUGUUGGUUUUAACCCCUUUUUAAUUUCAACAGUUUUGAACAACCGUGGCUUUCAUAGCCUCAGAAUUUGGGAGAAAGGGCCUUCGUGCCGUCUUGUUCUUUGCCCCAGUUUGUCUUCUGGUUUUCAGCUUUCCAAGAGGCAUGAGUGGUCUGUUACAAUUGAUCCCUGGUGGGGAGGAAGAGAAUUUAUAUUUCAUGAGGUCCAUACUACAGUGGAUUCCAUUCAGGAAAAGAGAGAGGAGACCGCAUGAAACCAAACCUGAGAGCCCACUUGAAUGGUAGAGAUGAGCCAGAGACUGGUUUGUUUUUGUCUUGGAACUCUGUAUUUUCAAUUUGGAACAGCACAUCUCUGUUCUGAAAUAUAUGGUUUGUGAAGGGCACUGUUCUGAGAAUAGCAGAUCUUUUGCACAGGCCCACCUGAUGCUCUGAGCAUCUUCUGUCUGGAUGAAUAAGGGUGGUGGUGGGAGAGGGAAGGGGGAAAUAAGUGGUUUUCUUAAUGGCCAGUAAAUUGAUUGAUAUUUGCUGCUACUAAUCUGUGUAUUUUUCUAUUUAUUUGGUCAUACUGACCACUGAGGAGCUAAAAUAUAUUUAAGCCUUUAUCCUGUAUGUUUCAUUUAAUGUUUGUGUCAUUAACCUUGAAGGCAUCCAUAUCAUUCCUCUCUUUUUUUAAAAAAAGUUCUCAUCUUACUAAGUAUUUAUUUUGUUGACAUGUGCUUUUCCUCCCUGCUCUCCUCCCCCAAUAUGCGUGUUAGAUGCAAAAAUGAACUUUUCACACAGUAGAACCUCAGACGAUAUGAACCUCCAGAAAUUGGAAAGGAAUUGUCAAGCAAACAUUCCCUGCUAAUAGCAACCAGUCAUUCAGGGUAGGAGUGAUGUGGUUGCCCAUGACUGAGGACCACUCAUGAUAUCAAAACUUGUGAUUUCAUCCUCAUGGGAAAUGGCGGGGCAGAGUUGUUUUGACAUUGCUGAUUUCCCCGUGUGUGUCUGUGUGUAUGCAUAUAUCUGCCCAUUCUCUCUUACAGCUCUUGACCAUCUCACAUUGAUCUCUUAUUCAAUAUUACUUUUGCAGGCUUCCUUCAUCUUGCCUCUGCAAAAUAGAAAAUAGUGUGGAUUGGUAUUCACAUAGAUCUUCCGUUUCAUUGCUAGGGUGGGCAAGUGCUGUUGUGAUGUUGGCUUUCUGAUAUCUGGAGUUAACAAACUGGGGACCAGUUGCAAGAAUGCAUGACCCCUCCUUGUAUCUCCUCCGACUCUCCUCCAGUUAAGUGACAACAAACUGCUUAACUGCUGUGAAGAGAGGUGGGGAAUUUGCUGGAACUCUUGAGAAACGAGUACAUUCUCCCAAGUCUUGGACCCAGUCUCUUUAAAUGCAGUUAACAAGGCCAACGUUGCGUCUACAGUGGACCACAGAUGCAUCCUUGGAAUCAAUCUCAGGACCUGUCUCCAUAACUGACCACACCUUGCAAGGAUGCUUUAUCAAAUAUAUGAAUGAAUUGGGGGUGGGGCGAGGAGGAAGGAAAUCUCUAUGCCUUGUGCUUCGUGGGAAAUAGUCCUGGUUGAGGUAAAACGCUAUUCCAUGUGGUCAGUUUGGGCAAUUAAUUGGAGGACCUUCUCGUAAGGAAGGAGCGUGUGAAUUGUGGGGUGUCUCCAAUGGGGACAAGGUUGAGAAGUAUUAGCAUCUGUGGUUGCUGCCAGCCUUUGUUUGUAUCAUUGAGGGUCUGCUGCAUUUGCCCUGUGGGUUUCUAUGUCCGAUUAAUGGCUUCCGAGUCUUCAAAUUGUGGUUCUGUGAUGCACUGUACAACGUGAGCACAACAGAGUCAUGUUAUGCCACUUACAAGGCCAUUAUGCAGUGUCUGUAGAAUUUGCACAGCGUUAUAAUAAAAGGUGUACCAUUUUGGAUUGUAAUGGACGUUAAUGCCAAGUUGGCAUCUGGGUUAUGGAAGUUCGACAUGCCAGUAUUAUUCUCUGGUGCCUCAGUCACGCUGCUGAAAUCAACAAACAGAGCUUGUGCCCUCUGAAGUUCCUCCAAAUUUCCUGAUGUGUUUGCCUAACAAAAACUCCUCUGGAGAGAAAUGUGGGUCGUUCGGGGUUGUGAGGUUUUGACUGUGAUGCUUUGCUUACCUUAAUGUAAACAAGGCACAGUCCAUUUAAGCAAAACUGUAAAAGUUCUGCUACCCAUACUAAGCUGGUCCCAGUCAGUAGGCUAACCAACUAGGUUGUUGGGGUUUUGGGGGGAAAUUUAAACAAAUUUUCUCCCUCAGAAAAUUAAAAAAACUUGUUACCUCUUCUGUUAUGGCUUCGGGUACAUGCAGAAAACAGUUCUGCCACAUAUCCGGCACCUGGUCCAUGGCAUUAAUCUUCUUAUCAUUUGAGAGGAAGACAAGGUAGAUAUAGAAGUCUGUUCACACAUUGUUCUAAACUAGAAAGGCAACACAACACUCUCCUUCUUGCCUUGUCUCCUCCUUCAUGACUGGGAAGAGGAGUUUGGAAGCUUUUGCUUUUGGUUAACCAUGGUUGGUUAUGCCGCCUGGAGCAACAAACCUUGGCUAAUACUGCUCAAUUUGUUGUUGUGUUAUGCAUUUAGUACUUUUAUACUGUGAAGCAUCCUGUGAUCUUUGGAUGAAGGGCGGUACAUCUAUUUAAUAACUCAUAACGAUCAUUUCAAAAGAGCCAAUGUCAAACUGGUUUAUGAAGCUGGCUUAGUGAAACUAAACAAUAGGUAGUGUCAGCCACAUAGUAGAGUCCAGAAGAUGCCCCAAACUAAAAGUGAUAGCAAAAGCUUCUGACUGCUCAGGAGAGGGAGAUCGUGUGAAGUCAAGGCUUGUUGUAGUUUAUGCAUGUCACACUAAACCAUGGUUUAGCAUGACAUGCAAAUAGGCCACUGUGUGUGUGUGUGUGUGUGUGUGUGUGUGUGUGUGUGCAACCACUUCGUAAACCAUGGUUAUUAACACUCUUGGUCUUGCUGUGCCUAUUUGUUGUCCUCAUCAGCAGCUGAUUUUUGGGAGUGGCCCAUUACCAUGUGUUUGGUUUUUGCUUCCCAUUUCUCCGAAGGCUAUAUCUCUUUUGCCCACCUCCCCAUCAUUACUGACUCUUAAUGACCUUGUGAACAGGGUAAUUAAAAUACAGUGCCCCACCACCACCAUUUCCCCCUUUCACCAUGGUGGAGAGAAUUGAUUCAAAAACAGAUUCCUGUUAUGGUAUAAAUACACUGUGAGAAUAAAAACAAUAUAAGUGCUGCUUAGCAAUAAAUGUAGGACACGUCUUAUGAUGGUUUUGCCCAGGCAAAGCAGAUUGCUUGUCAUACAUGUUGGAACUACUGUACAUGUUAUUUUGCUGCUGCUUCUUUUUUAAUUAAAACAAAAAAACUUCUUUGUCUUGCUGUUUAGAAUAUUGUUGUUGUCAUGGCCUUGUUAAAAUGCCUUUUCUUUUUGUAUCCAUGUUGACAUGUCCGUCUCCAUGCACAAGGACACUUUGGAAGGGAAGGGAAGGGAAGUUUUCUAGUCACUGAGAUGGAAAAAACACACCUUCCACCUGCAAAAAUUAGUCCAAUACCCUGCAAUGCAGGAAUCUUUUGCCCAAAGUGGGGCUUGAACCCACGACACUCUGAGAUUAAAAGUUUCAUGCUGUACCGGCUGAGCUAUCCCACAGUGUAUUCCAAGAGUGAAAGCCGGGCUCAUGAGAGCCCUGCUCUUGCUCAUUGUUGAAAAUCUGCAGCAAGGGGGAAACUGCGAUACUUUAAGAAGUGUCAUAAUACAGAGGGCCUUCCUAAGUUAGGAAACUAGUAUUUGAGCGGUCUCCUAGUCAGUGGUGGAUGGUCCCCAUUGGGAAUGGUGGGGCAGAAAGCAACAGUAGACUGCCUGAACAAAUGACAGAGAGCCACAGCCAAUGACCGGCCAAGCCAAAUAAUUAAGCUUUUAUCCCCAGUCCUAGAAGGGCAAAACAGAGACUAAGGAGGAGGCAUCUAGGGUCACCUCCUGGACUGGUAGUAAGAAAGAAGGGAGGCAGUGGGGGCAGACUGAGAGUGGUGAGGCAGUGCCCCUUUGCAUAAUAGAUCAGCCUCCCCUGCUCCUAUAAAUCAAGACUCAAUGAAAGUCGCUGUGACUCUCACUUGCAUCCUUUGGAAGUCAAAUCUAAAUAAAAUAUCUAGGACUACAGUUCCCAUCAUUCCUGACCACUAGUCUGCUAGCUGGGAGUGAUGGGAGUUGUAGUCCAAAAAAAAUAAAUGGAUUAAGACCCAAGAUGGGAAACCCUGAUGUAGGACUUGGGUCUUGUAACAAACAGCAGAUAAAGCAACUAAUUUGUGUCUGGGGUGUGCCACUUCAGAUUGCAGAAUGGCGAUCACAUGACUAAUUAUUCCUCCAGAUUCCUUUUGCAGUCAUACCUCGGGUUACGAACACUGCGGGUUGCGGACCGCGCCAAACCUGUAAGUACCGGAACAGGUUACUUCCAGGUUUCGGCGCUUGCGCAUGCACAGAAACACCACAUCGCAUCACGCGCGUGCGCAGACGUGGUUAUUCAGGUUGCAAACGCUGUGGGUUGCGAAUGUGCCUCCCGCACAGAUCACGUUCGCAACCCGAGGUAUGACUGUACAUAGAAAACUGGAUUUGGGAAAGCAGUCAUUCUUUCUUUCUGAGAUACUAGUUUCUUGUGUGCAUUUUUAAACAAAUCCUGCACUCUGAAGUGGUAUUGCCUAGAGGUGUGGUGAACCUUUGGCCUUGUAGAUCAGUGUUUCCCAAACUUGGGUCUCCAGCUGUGUUUGGACUACAAUUCCCACCAUUCUUGACCACUGGUCCUGCUAGCUAGGGAUGAUGGGAGGAGUUGUAGUCCAAAAACAGCUCGAGACCCAAGUUUGGGAAACAUUGCUCUAGAAUGCUGCUGAACUGCAUCUCCCAUCAGCCCCAGCAAAGCACAACCAAUAGCCAGGGAUGAUGGGAAUUGUAGUUCAGGAACAUCUGAGGGGCCAAAAGUUCCCCACACCUGGUCUGGAGCCAGGUGGAUUACUACAUAUCUUUUUUGUGAGAAGAAAGAUUUCAGAAGCCAUAAUCCCCUCAGAAAUGUUAAACCCCUGUCUAGUGUUCUUUUUUGUGGCCUCCAGAGCCUUGCAGCAGAUUAAUCUUUCAGGAGAUACCACUUCUCCUAAUUGAGAGCAUCUGGUUAAGUCAUUGUCAGAACAGGAUACUGGCCUAGAAGGGCCUCUGGGCUGAUCCAGCAGAACUCUUCUUACGUUUAUCAGGAAUAGGCCUGGUUGAUUGCAAUGUGCGAAUGGGGCCGGCUCUACCAUUAGGCAGUGUGAGGCAACAAAUGCUGGGAGACAGGGAACCACAGGGAGGUGUUGAAGGACAGAGUGCUGUGUGCCCUUCAAUCUGCCCUGUGCCCUCAAGAGUUAGCCUGCUUCCCUCAGGUGGGGUGGAGGAUAGUGCCUCACCACAAGUGUUAAAUUGAAGAUUAGAUUGCCAGCCUGGUCAGCUUUUGUAUAUGGAAAGGGAGGAAGGACCAUCUUGUCUUUUGCCUCAGGCAGCAAAAUGUCUUGGGCCGGCCACUGGGUAGAAUUCGUUUUACUUUGAACAACCACAGAAAUGGCUUUGGUUUUUUUGUAUUCCUGAAAGGAAUUGUAUUGUGUGCAACUGUAUUGUGUGCAAAUCCUGAGGGAAAUGUCUUUCAGCUGGAGACAACUUGUCUAGUCAGUCUUGGAAUCUGGAAGCUUUCACCUUUCCUUUGUUUUAAAAAAUUGCACUGAUUUCUGCAGUCGGAUAACUUUCUGUGUUAUAAAAUAAACCAUCUUCUGCUCGCUGUUUCAUGGCUUUGUUUUGCUGUCUCUGGUAAUCCUUCAUGCUGCUUUGCUAUUUCAGUGGGUUUGCAGUCUUAUUAUUUAUUUUCCUAUUUAUUUAUUUAAAAGGCACCUGUAGCACUUUUCAGAGAAGACCGCCUCUCAAAGAAAGCAGCUUACAAUCAAGUAAAAUAUUUAACAAUAAAACAUUUAAAACACUUCAAAUAUCCAAGUACAUCUAAAAAAAACCCCAAACCAGCAUCUUAAUUAACCUGCCAAGUCAUUGCAAAGAAAUUAGUAUUUAAAGUCUGUUUAAGAAAGACCAGAGAAGGGGUUUGCCUCCUUAUCACUUGGAAUUGCAUUCCAUAAUGGGGUGUACCUGCCAGC